CGCGGCCUAUCAGCUUGUUGGUGAGGUAACGGCUCACCAAGGCAUCGACGGGUAGCUGGUCUGAGAGGACGAUCAGCCACACUGGGACUGAGACACGGCCCAGACUCCUACGGGAGGCAGCAGUAGGGAAUCUUGCGCAAUGGGCGAAAGCCUGACGCAGCAACGCCGCGUGGGGGAUGAAUGCCUUCGGGUUGUAAACCCCUUUCAGCAGGGACGAAAAUGACGGUACCUGCAGAAGAAGCUCCGGCCAACUACGUGCCAGCAGCCGCGGUAAUACGUAGGGAGCGAGCGUUGUCCGGAAUUAUUGGGCGUAAAGAGCUCGUAGGCGGUUCGGUAAGUCGGGUGUGAAAACUCAAGGCUCAACUUUGAGACGCCACUCGAUACUGCUGUGACUUGAGUCCGGUAGAGGAGUGUGGAAUUCCUGGUGUAGCGGUGAAAUGCGCAGAUAUCAGGAGGAACACCAGCGGCGAAGGCGGCACUCUGGGCCGGUACUGACGCUGAGGAGCGAAAGCAUGGGGAGCAAACAGGAUUAGAUACCCUGGUAGUCCAUGCCGUAAACGUUGGGCACUAGGUAUGGGAUCAUAUCAACGGAUUCCGUGCCGUAGCUAACGCAUUAAGUGCCCCGCCUGGGGAGUACGG
rnacentral:rRNA from 1 species